rnacentral:rRNA from 1 species
GCAAGUCGAACGGUAACAUUUCUAGCUUGCUAGAAGAUGACGAGUGGCGGACGGGUGAGUAAUGCUUGGGAACUUGCCUUUGCGAGGGGGAUAACAGUUGGAAACGACUGCUAAUACCGCAUAAUGUCUACGGACCAAACGGGGCUUAGGCUCCGGCGCAAAGAGAGGCCCAAGUGAGAUUAGCUAGUUGGUAAGGUAAAGGCUUACCAAGGCGACGAUCUCUAGCUGUUCUGAGAGGAAGAUCAGCCACACUGGGACUGAGACACGGCCCAGACUCCUACGGGAGGCAGCAGUGGGGAAUAUUGCACAAUGGGGGAAACCCUGAUGCAGCCAUGCCGCGUGUGUGAAGAAGGCCUUCGGGUUGUAAAGCACUUUCAGUUGUGAGGAAAAGUUAGUAGUUAAUACCUGCUAGCCGUGACGUUAACAACAGAAGAAGCACCGGCUAACUCCGUGCCAGCAGCCGCGGUAAUACGGAGGGUGCGAGCGUUAAUCGGAAUUACUGCGCGUAAAGCGCACGCAGGCGG